UAUAGAAAAUGACAUACUAGCACAUGACCAAAGAUGUAAACACAGAAAACCCACAUUCAAAAAGAUUUAUACAAAUAAAGAUAUGAGCCCAGACCCAAAAGCUAAAUGAUGCAAGUCUGACUCAUAAUUUUAAUGAAAAAUGACCAAAAUACUCAAUUUGAUGAAAUAUUUACGCGUAUGCCACUGACCAAAAUCUCUCUCUCUCUCUCUCUCUCUCUCUCUCUCUCUGCGCCGUUUUACCCAUUCCCAUCCUAAUCCAAGUCUGACCCGUUGAAUCCCUCGUCGUCUGCAACUCUCUAACGCGCCACUUCCAUCCCUUGCCUCAGCUCGGCUCUCGAUCUCAUUCGGUGUGGCAGUUGCAACUUAUGGGGAGGUGAAAUUUAACUUGUGGGGAGUGAGCCUGCAGCUACUGGCGGUGGGUUUCGAGGCGACGAGGAUGAAUUCGCUAUGAACCUGGUUAUGUUUCUACUGGUGGGGAAGACUUCGGCUUUGACAAUGAAUGUUGCCGGGGUUGUGAAAAAUUGGCUCCUAAUUACGUUUUCAUGGUUGGUGAUCAAGGAUACCGUGACGCAAAUCAAUCUGAUUGGGUAUCUGAUUGUGUUUAUCGGUGUCGCUUAUUACAAUCAUGCAAAAUUGCAGGCGCUUAAGGCCGUCGAGGCGCAUAAGAAGGCUCAGCAGGACAAUGUGGAGGUUGGGAAACUGUUGGAGGAGAGAGAUGAGGAUGGAAAGAAGAACGAAACUCAGGAUUGAGCUUCAUUUUCUAAUUGGUAGCUCCAUCAUUGUAUUGCCUGAAAGAAGGAUAGAGGAUUAUUAGACCCAGGAGAAUUGAGAGAGCAGUGGAAAAAUAAUGUACUAAGUGGGGUGUUACUUAUUUAGUCUCACUUAGUAGCUUAUUGUUUUAAGUAUGUGGUGUUAGAUGUUUAUGUGUUACUCUUCAAUUUCAGUCAUUUUCACUUUACAGUUGAUAGUUCAACUUAUCUGUGGUCAAGAUUGAGUUAUUGGGGGUGUCUGAUAGUGAUCAUGGCCGUGCCUUGUGCCAAUUUAUCAUUGUGAUUAGGAGGUUAUAAAUGUUUUUGAGAUUCUUAUUGAAUUUUGGAAGAGGACAUGAACUUAUUA